rnacentral:rRNA from 1 species
UUGAACGCUGGCGGCAUGCCUUACACAUGCAAGUCGAACGGUAGAGGAGCAAUCCUCGAGAGUGGCGAACGGGUGAGUAAUGUAUCGGAACGUGCCCAGUAGUGGGGGAUAGCCCGGCGAAAGCCGGAUUAAUACCGCAUGAGACCUGAGGGUGAAAGCGGGGGACUCGCAAGAGCCUCGCGCUACUGGAGCGGCCGGUAUCAGAUUAGGUAGUUGGUGGGGUAAAGGCCUACCAAGCCUGCGAUCUGUAGCUGGUCUGAGAGGACGACCAGCCACACUGGGACUGAGACACGGCCCAGACUCCUACGGGAGGCAGCAGUGGGGAAUUUUGGACAAUGGGCGAAAGCCUGAUCCAGCCAUGCCGCGUGCGGGAAGAAGGCCUUCGGGUUGUAAAGCUCUUUCAGACGGAAAGAAAACGCAUCGGUGAAUACCCGGUGUGGAUGACGGUACCGUAAGAAGAAGCACCGGCUAACUACGU